CCUACGGUGGGCUGCAGUGGGGAAUAUUGCACAAUGGGGGAAACCCUGAUGCAGCAACGCCGCGUGAGUGAAGAAGUAUCUCGGUAUGUAAAGCUCUAUCAGCAGGGAAGAAAAUGACGGUACCUGACUAAGAAGCCCCGGCUAACUACGUGCCAGCAGCCGCGGUACGACGUAGGGGGCAAGCGUUAUCAGGAUUUACUGGGUGUAAAGGGAGCGUAGACGGUGUGGCAAGUCUGAAGUGAAAGCCCGGGGCUCAACCCCGGGACUGCUUUGGAAACUGUCAUGCUGGGGUGCUGGAGAGGUAAGCGGAAUUCCUAGUGUAGCGGUGAAAUGCGUAGAUAUUAGGAGGAACACCAGUGGCGAAGGCGGCUUACUGGACAGUAACUGACGUUGAGGCUCGAAAGCGUGGGGAGCAAACAGGAUUAGAUACCCUUGUAGUC
rnacentral:rRNA from 1 species